rnacentral:rRNA from 1 species
UACAGAGGUCCCGAGCGUUGUUCGGAUUCAUUGGGCGUAAAGAGCUCGUAGGCGGCCUGUCGCGUCCGCUGUGAAAACCCGGGGCUUAACCCCGGGCCUGCAGUGGAUACGGGCAGGCUGGAGGCAGGCAGGGGGAGAACGGAAUUCCCGGUGUAGCGGUGAAAUGCGCAGAUAUCGGGAGGAACACCGGUGGCGAAGGCGGUUCUCUGGGCCUGUACUGACGCUGAGGAGCGAAAGCGUGGGGAGCGAACAGG